rnacentral:lncRNA from 1 species
CCUGUGCAGGUGGUGGUGCCCUCUGCGCCUUCACUGGGGCCCAGCCAAGUAACUGAAUCCAGCCAGGAGCAAGGGCAGACGCUGGCACAGGUCCUGCCACUGUCCCCAACCUGGGUUUCAACACAGCUGAGGCCUGGCAUAGUCUUUCUGGGCGCCUCUGGCUGGCUCGGUCUGAAAGGUGGGACAGAUGCAACUGGGGCCUCCCCGGGUGCAGCGUGGGUGGCUCCUGGCUGGGGAAGUGAGAAGCCCUCCGUGCGGUGUCUCUGAAGCAGCCCCAGGCCAAGGCUGUGGCGUGCUUGGUGGUGCUGUAGGCCCAAGAUGUUUAUGGGUCGAGGGUCCCCGGGGCCGGGAUUCUGAUCCCUGGUGAGAGGUGGCUGGGAGGAAGUCCAGACGUGUCCUGAGUGGCCAUUCCUCACACUGAGGUGACACCGCCUCUCCAAACACGUGACGUGGCUGGAAGCAGAUGCUGCUGUCCGGUUCUCCCUCCUCUCCGUCCCUGGCUGGGACAUGUGGAUCUCACCCGCAGCCACUUUCUUCUGGCCUCUGUCCCCCUGCCUGGGACACGUGGACCUCACCCCCAGUCUCCUUCUCUCCUCUGCCCCCCGCAGGCGCGGCCAGGUCACAGUCGGCACCAGAAGUUUGGCAGAUCUCAGUGAGGCGUUAGUUUGCAUUUCCUUGUGACGGGUUUUGACUGGAAUGCCAGGCUUAACGUUGCUCAGAAGUUGCUUCUAUGAGGACGUCUCCCAGCAGCUGUCAGUGUUUCCAAUGAGUCAUCGCCAGCCCCUGCAAUGAGCCUCUCAGGCUGGUAAGUUUUGUUUCAGAACCGCUUCCUCAAGCUUCUUUUGCCUUUAAAAGCUUCCUCUUGCCCCAGCCUCCCAGGGAAUGCCUGUGGUCUGUCAUGGCUCACACAUCCUGGUUGAUAAUCCACUGCUGUUCUCCACGGAAUGCCUUCAUUUUGAGAGCUGCUCGCUGCCUGUUGUGGUUUCAGUUGACGGCCCACCGCUGUGUGCAGAGUUCACCAGCCGCUGUGGUGUGCAGUGCAGCAGCUGACCUGCCUGCCUUGUGGUUUUCUAAUCCCAUUGAGGGGACGUCUUAGGUGUUCUCACCAAGAAUGCACAGCAACAGUGCUGGGUGGGCCACAUCCUCCCUCACGUUUGGUGCCACCAGUUUUAUAGAUUUUGGCUACUGUGGGUGUGUGUGGUGGUUUUUGUUGGUGUUUACGACGCAUCUUCCUGGUGCUCGAGUCUGUCGAGCACUUUUUCUUGUGUUUAUUUGCCAUCAUUUGGCGAAGUGUUCAAAUCCUUUGACCGUUGUUUCACCAAGUUGUUUUAUUAUGAAAUUUUAGGGGUUACUUAUUCUGGAUCUCAGCACUUGGAUAAAUAUUUGAGAAUAUUUUUUGCAGUAAGUGACAUCGUUUUAUGUGGAUGAACAGAAGAUUUUAAUUUUGAUAAAGUCUAAUGGAUAUAUGUGAUGUUAGUGUAAUUUGAAUGCAUACAUAUGUAUAUUUAAUGCAUUCUUUUAUGAUGAUUGUGCACUUCAUAUGAAAUGCGGCAACCUUGCCUUGCCAUCCCGGAGGCCUCUGCUUCUCUGAUCUGUGGGUGUCACAGGCACUUCACUUACUCACACCUUAUGGCACGGUUUCUUUUGCUCUAAGCCUGCACGUGUGUUUUAAAGGUAAUUUCUUCCGUUAGAGAAGUCGCGUAGGCUCACCCUGCUAUUUGCCAUUUCUGGAGCUCUUUAUCUCCUUCUUCAUAUCUGCAUUUCCCUCUGGAAUCAUUUCCAUUCAGCCUGAAGAACUCUUCUGCCUGGGACUCCACCUUCUUUUCUAGCAGCUGGGCUCAUUGGGAGCUCUGUCCUCUGGUGGCUCUGGCCAGGGGACGCUGGGUUUUCUCUUAGGGUUUCAGUUGGCCCGUGUGGUGCCAAUGUCAACGUGUCUGUAGGCCAGAGCCAGCAAUGAGCACCCCCUCGGUCUGGCCCUGAGCUCCAAGGCCCCACUCCCACGGGAUCUUGCUGCCAGGACCCCACUCUCUGCAUCUUGUCCAGAGUGUCGAGGAGGGCAGGGUCCAGCGGGAUCUCUCGGCCCUCCCAGGGCUGAGUCUGUGCUCUGACCUUUCCUGGGAGGCACUCAGGGCCAACAGAGCAACAAGGGGCCUUUCCCUGUGGCUCCCUCCCCUCUGGAGAAAAUGGGUCAGACCUGGGUUUCUCCAUAGUCACUGUCCCUAAAAUGAAGCCGGGCUGCCAGAGGCGGUUGCAUCUCCCGGCACCAAGACCCCAGAGUCCCUGUGAGAAAGAGGACCAACGACGAUGGAAGCCUUUCUCUAAUGUGCGCACAGCCAGGCCGCUCCUCUGAAGGCGCUGAGCCGCCUCUAAUCACAGCGCCACACUGGCCACAGGUCGCUGGGUAUAGGAUGAACCCAGCUGUGAAUAGGAUGCAUUUCCUGGGAGGUUUCUGUGAAGUUACUGAACUGCCAAAAGGUAAGCAGUUUUAAUUGAUUUGUGAGUCUUCAAUUAAGCACAGCAGAAUGCUAAUUAAAUAUUCUCUGUUCUUUAAAUAGAGAAUGCUUUAAAUAAUUCAGCACAAUCUUUGCAUAAAUCACACCAUUCAGCUGAGGUGCCUGUCAGCAGUCAAGUGAUUGAGAGCACAAACUGUCCCAAAGACACAGCCCCCUUCCCCCUGGAGACGCGCACAGCCUGCAGAAGAGAUGUCACCUGAUGCAGCGUUGUGGUUUAAAAACUCAUUAUGGGAAGCAUGAGGCUGGACCCAGGGGACCCUGGAGGUGAUGCAGGGGCUUUGGCAGCCUGGAAGCUGUUGGAGGAGGGGCCCUUGGUGGAAGUGGGGACAGUUUGAGCCUCCGGCCUCCAAUUCCCUCCCGCUGGCUUCUGGGCCGCACCUCCAGGAAUCCAGCUAGACCCGCAGGGCUCUGACUCCAGACUUUAUUAAAUGUUUCCUCUAACGGUUCUGGCCAUUCUGCUGGGCCAUUAAAGGCUACCCCAGGGCCUCAGAUAUGAGCGUGGUGUCUGUAUGUGGUCCUUUCAUGGAGGGCAGGAAGCAUCAUAAUUACUUUUUUUUUUAACGGUUUUCAAUUUGUGUUGACAAAGAGCCUUAGUGAAUCUGUUGGAAGAAGAGUGACUUCAAAAUGAACCUGACUCCCUGUAUGUUAGGAGUCCAUAUUCUCUGAUACAGUUAACGUUUUCCUUCCAACCUCUUCACUGUUCAAGCAAAGUGGUAUUUUAGCUAUUCACUGUUUGACACUUUAAUAGGAGUUUUGAUGAGCAAUUUCAGGAUGUGGAAUUGCUACACUGCACCAGGUUCCUGCAGGAGCAGCAGCCUCAGCCUGUGGAUGGGACGUGAGAUCUUGGUGUUUCUCCUGGAGGAAACGCUGUGCUGCUGUGUUGAUGACGGGGCGUGUGUGGGGUUGAUGAUGGGUGAUGGAGUGUGGGGUUGGUGACAGGUGACGGAGUGUGGGGUUGACGACGGGUGAUGGAGUGUGGGGAUGAUGAUGGGUGAUGGAGUGUGGGGAUGAUGACGGGUGAUGGAGUGUGGGGAUGAUGAUGGGUGAUGGAGUGUGGGGAUGAUGAUGGGUGAUGGAGUGUGGGGAUGAUGACGGGUGAUGGAGUGUGGGGAUGAUGAUGGGUGAUGGAGUGUGGGGAUGGUGAUGGAGUGUGGGGAUGGUGAUGGAGUGUGGGGAUGAUGAUGGGUGAUGGAGUGUGGGGAUGAUGAUGGAGUGUGGGGAUGAUGACGGGUGAUGGAGUGUGGGGAUGAUGAUGGGUGAUGGAGUGUGGGGAUGGUGAUGGAGUGUGGGGAUGGUGAUGGAGUGUGGGGAUGAUGAUGGGUGAUGGAGUGUGGGGAUGAUGAUGGAGUGUGGGGAUGAUGACGGGUGAUGGAGUGUGGGGUUGACGACGGGGCGUGGGGUUGAUGAUGGAGUGUGGGGAUGAUGAUGGGUAUGGAGUGUGGGGAUGAUGAUGGGUAUGGAGUGUGGGGUUGAUGACGGGUGAUAGAGGAGUGUGGGGAUGUGAUGGGUGAUGGAGUGUGGGGAUGAUGAUGGAAUGUGGGAUUGAUGACGGAUGAUGGAGUGUGGGGAUGAUGAUGGGUGAUGGAGUGUGGGGAUGAUGAUGGAGUGUGGGGUUGAUGAUGGGUGAUGGAGUGUGGGGUUGAUGAUGGGUGAUGGAGUGUGGGGAUGAUGUUGGGUGAUGAAGUGCGGGGAUGAUGAUGGAGUGUGGUGAUGAUGACAGGUGACGGAGUCUGGGGUUGAUGACGGGGCGUGGGGUUGAUGAUGGAGUGUGGGGAUGAUGAUGGGUAUGGAGUGUGGGGAUGAUGAUGGAUAUGGAGUGUGGGGUUGAUGACGGGUGAUACAGUGUGGGGAUGUGAUGGGUGAUGGAGUGUGGGGAUGAUGAUGGGUAUGGAGUGUGGGAUUGAUGACGGGUGAUGGAGUGUGGGGAUGAUGAUGGGUAAUGAAGUGUGGGGAUGAUGAUGGAGUGUGGUGAUGAUGACAGGUGACGGAGUGUGGGGUUGAUGACGGGGCGUGGGGUUGAUGAUGGAGUGUGGGGAUGAUGACGGGUGACCGAGUGUGGGGUUGAUGACGGGGCGUGGGGUUGAUGAUGGGGUGUGGGGAUGAUGACGGGGCAUGGGGUUGAUGACGGGGCGUGGGGCUGUUGAUGGGGUUUGGGGUUGAUGACGGGGUGUGUGGUUGAUGACGGGGUAUGGGGUUGAUGAUGGGGCGUAGGGUUGAUGAUGGGGUGUGGGGUUGAUGAUGGGGCAUGGGGUUGAUGACGGGGCCUGGGGUUGAUGACGGGGUGUGGGGUUGAUGACGUGGUGUGGGGUUGAUGACGGAGUAUGGGGUUGAUGAUGGGGUGUGGAGUUGAUGACGGGGUGUGGGGUUGAUGACGGGGCAUGUGUGGGGUCGAUGAUGGGGUGUGGGGUUGAUGAUGGGGUGUGGGGUUGAUGAAGGGGCGUGGGGUUUAUGACGGAGCUUGGGGCUGAUGAUGGGGUGUGGGGCUGAUGAUGGGGUGUGGGGCUGAUGAUGGGGCAUGGGGUUUAUGAUGGGGUGUGGGAUUAAUGACGGAGUGUGGCGUUGAUGAUGAGGCGUGGGGUUUAUGACAGAGCGUGGGGUCAAUGACAGGGUGUGGGGUUGAUGACGGGGUGUGGGGUUGAUGACGGGGCAUGGGGUUUAUGACAGCUUGUGUCAGACGAAGCCACAUCAACUCAUUCUGAGCACCCCUUUCCUCAAAACAUAAGGAUGAGCAUGACCAAAAUCUCAAGACAUUUUUCCUAAGUCCUUAAGACGGAUGAACUUCUACAGGUAAGUAGGUAGAUUAAUAAACAGAGGUAAGGAAUGUUGGCAUGAAGAAGCUCCCUAGGCUGCUGUGUGGCUGAAGCUCUGACUGGUCAUGCUGGUUAAGGAUGCGUCUGAGCAAGAUCGGUCGCUGACAGGUAGGUGUGUAGAAAAUAACCUAUAUGUGGUGGUCCAUUUUCAGUUCUAAGUGCCUUCAUAUAGGUUUAAGCAGGCUAUGUGGAAAUAGAGAAAUAAAGAAGCAGAAAUGUACUGAGUCACCACCCUGCCCUCCUUCCUGCUUUCCCUUUCACCCAGCGGCCACGUGCCUAUCAGUAGGAGCCCCCUCAACUACCCUCUCCUCACCCCACCAAAGAAUUUAGUUUAGGCUAGCUUGCAACAUAAAUAAUUAUACCCUUUCUUAUCAGCUACGUGCAGCCACCAGGGCCAUAGUCAAAUGUUUGAAGAGUCCUGAGACAGUUGCAAUGCAUGGUGGGCUGCAAUAAAAUGCAGCAGAAAGAUCCUAAAGAACAGACUUGAAAUCUUAAUCCAACGACCAAUAGGUGAUGUCCAGGAAGAUCGUAACCCCAUUUACUCAGUCAAUGAGGAACUGGGGGAGGGACCUGCGCACUAGGGGAUAAAUUGCUUGUUGAAACUCUGCUGGGGGUGGCUGCAUGCCAGCCAGACACCCAGUCUUGCAAGACUGUCAUUGAAAAUCUCCGUUUUGCUGUUCUCCGGGUCUCUGCGUCCAGUCUUUGUGUUUGGACGGGUGAGUUUGUUUCUCACAGGUGCGACUCUGUCUCUAUUUGCAUCAGGUUCAGUUUCUUCCUGGUUGACCUUGUGGGUGUGAAUGUUGUCACAGACCUGCCGGGCCAUCUUUCUGCAAGAAGAUAAAGGAAGACCAGGAGUGCCUGCCGAACUCCUAUGGAGGAAGUCUAGGAGAGGAAGGGGACAGGGAGGAAGAUGGUGUCUGCAAACCAGGAAGCAGCCUUGCCAGACACAGGAUUGGCCACAACCUUGACCCCAGACUUCCAGCCUCCAGAACUGAAGGACUGAGUUCAUUUUCAGCGUGUCUGGCUUUUCCAUUUCUGUGGCCUGGGAAGGUGGGUGGCUACAUCAUCAUCCAUGGUCUCUGAAAUAUCCUGUGUUACCAAGGCCUGCUUGUUCCACCAAACUGCUCCAUAGGCAGUUGUGACACCCAGAAAGAUGCUGAUAUGGUUUGGCUGUGUCCCCACCCAAAUCUCAUCUUGAAUUGUAGUUCCCAUAAUCCCCAGGUGUCUGGGAGGGGCCCAGUGGGAGGUAAUUGAGACAUGGGGGCGGGUUUUCCCAUGCUGUUCUUGUGAUAGUGAAUAAGUCCCAAGAGAUUCUGAUGGUUUUAUAAACAGGAAUUUCCCUGCACAGGCUCUCUUGCCUGCCACCAUGUAAGACCUGCCUCUGCUCCUCCUUCACCUUCCGCCAUGAUUGUGAGGCCACCCCAGCCAUGUGGAACUGUGAGUCCAUUAAACCUCUUUUUCUUUAUAAAUUACUCAGUCUCAGGUAUUUCUUCAUAGCAUUAUGAAAAUGGACUAAUACAGAUGCAGCUAGCAUGAGGGAACUGUCCUUGCCAACUUGGAGUUGUUCUCAGAAACUGCAGUAACUCAAUACUGGGAACAGAAAUGCACUACCCUGAGGUCAGGGAUUUUAGGAUACAGUCCCGAAGCUUCUGUUGCCUUCAAUGCCUUCACUGACAUGGGAUUUAGGGAUUCAGAGUCCUGAAGCUUCUGUUGCCCGGGUAAGCCCUCAGUGCCUUCACUGACGUGCACAGAGCUGCUCUUUCUGUGAAUGGAUGCUAUCCCAACCAGGAGGCCUGGAAACUGCGGCUUUGCGAUUUUGAAUUUAUGGAAGGAGUCCUUGGUGACCCUCACAAUCUGGAGGCCGAGAGUCCAAGGUCAAGCAGCUGGUUCCUCUGGAGGCUCCAUGGAAGAAGCCCUUCCAUGCUGGUUUUCUUCCUCUGGUGUUCCUGGCAACCCUUGGUGUUCCUUGCCUGGUGAAUGAAUCACCCACCUUUGCCUCCAUCUGUCCAUGGUGUUAUCCCUGUGUCUCUGCCCAAAUCUCUCUCUCCUUAUGAGGACACCGAAUGGAUGAGCUCAUUUCAACUUGAUCACAUGUGCAAAGACCCUAUUUCCAAAUGAGGUCACAUUUUCAGGUGUGAGGGUUAGAACUUCAACUAUCUUUUUGGGGGACACAGCACCAUCCACAGCCGUGAGGACAUUGGACAAAGCCCAACUUGGACCUGACUCGGGUCAGGGGGGAGGGGCACAGGGAGAUUUGCCUUUUUCCUGUUUUGCCAUUUUCCACGUAACUCGUAUUUGCUACUUUAGAGGAACCAUUUAUGGAAAACUACAGGAUAAAGGAUAAACAAAUGGUGGAGGAAAGGAAAUCUGUUAGCAAUCAGAGAGAUUGUUAAUUUCCUUGAUGAGGAGCCAAUUGGUUGAAGGGUGCCUGUAAUUUACAACUUCAGUCUUGGGAAAAAUGUGCACAGUUAUUUUUUGGUCUCCAUGAAGGAAACGUUUAGACGGGCACUCAUGGGGCUGAUUACCGAUUCAGAGGAACAUGCAGGGGGCAUCCACCCUCCAGGCGUGGGAAGAGAGAAGCACAUGCUUCCGGGAGGCCAAGGCUGAGCCGGGCUUAGGAGUGUCCUCUCCAGGUACUAAGUUAAUUUUAUGGGAGCUGAAGCCUCGCUGCUUCUCGGAGCCUGGGGAGUUGGGAGCACUGGCCCUGGGCUCUGUGUGGCCUGGAACUGCGACUGCAGCUUGGAAUUCUUGGGCUCAGCUAUGGCGGCCUGUGCCCUUCUCCAGGCAUGGUUUGGGCCGUGUCCCUGGAACAGCAGCUGAGGUCCUGGUGCCAGCCCCAUCACAGACGGCAGGGGACCUGAGAUAGACAUGGCCCCCUCUGCCCAGGCCCCCUUGCUGGAAAGGCAGAGGCACAUCUUACCUCCGGGGACCCCACUCUCACCUCGGAGGAUGUUUUAGGCCAUGCUGUGUGUUGCCAUCUUUGGGAAGAACUAGUUUAACGAAGGAGUCAUGAAUUUGGCGAGGGGCCGCCUCUGCUGACGGUGUUUCCUGAGUCCCUGCCCUUCACUGGGGCACGAGGGCACAUGUGCCUCCGUUGCGCACCUGGGUGGGUGGGGCUGGCCGUGACCAGCGGUUCCAGGUGACGCUGCCCUGGGAGAGCUCCUUGGCAGGGCUCUGGGGUGAGCUGGGCAGGGACCCGGGAGGUCAGAGGCCCCUGGGUCUUGGCCAAGCAGCUGGAGAGCUGGUGCUGGGAGUGUGUGCUGAGGGGUAGCACGGGCCGAAGGGCUCCUUCCCACUGGCUCUGUUGGCUCAGCCUCGAAUUGUCUGCAGGGACGCCUGCUGGCCACACAUCACCAUGAGGAUGCACUUGACUGAAUCUGGAAGAAUCCCAGGGCUGUGGAAGAUUUUGGAAGAUAAAAUGCCCCCAAGGAAGCAUUAAUUAAUAAAUGAAUAAAUAUGCCCAGGCUUAAACGAAUUUCCUGCAACAGCUAUUCACUGGGCAGGCCCUGGUAGGGUCCUUGCCUUCCCCACACCUGUUUGAAGUGUAGGUCCUUCUCAGAAUAGGCAGAAGGAGCAGGUGGCACUGAUGAGAUGGAGCAGUCGUCACCCACAUUCCCACACCUUACCAGGAUGAGGAUCUCCAAACUGGGGCAGAGCUGGGCUCCAUGAGUGAGCAUUGCGUUGAGAAACCACCCUGUGUAAGUACAAAGAGGCUUGUCCCACAGCUCCUGGUCACCAAAAGCUGUCAGCAACUCUCACUGGACCUUGGGUCUUGGGCACGUCCCUCCAGCCUCAGUGCCCCGGGAAGGAAUUCACAGAGAGCGGCUUCAACCUCCCAGGGCCAUGUAGAGGCCAAACCAGAGCGACUGUGGGUAGAGCGCCUUGCCCAACCUCGGCCCGGCUACAAGGGCAUCGCAGGCCAGACCCUUCACUUGGCUCUCCCCAUGUGCCCACGUCCUCCGGGAGCUCCGGCUGUCACAGCUGAAGGUAGAAAUCUUCUUACGGUCCCCCACACUGUGUCUGCACAAAGUGAGACGCUGACUUCCCAACUCACCCACCUGCUGCGCUGGGUCAAGCUGAUAAGAGCAGCCCCUGAAGCCACAGAAAAAUCCUAGGCAUGCCAGGAAAGUGCGAAGCCCCCGGGGGCCCUGGGAUGUGAGCUCUGCGCGUGGAGGUGUGUUGGCUUGGGGUGAUCUUUCCAAUGGACUUCAGAGCCUCCAGGAGACCAGAGAACAGAGCUCUGGGACGGGGGGCACAGGCGCGAUGUGGGGUCAGCUUGUCUCCCCGAGGAGACUCCACAGUCCAGAGCUCUGGCACAGGGGGGCACAGGCGCGGUGUGGGGUCAGCUUGUCUCCCCGAGGAGACUCCACAGUCCAGAGCUCUGGACAGGUGGGCACAGGCACAGUGUGGGGUCACUUGCCCCCCUCACCCUGGGAGACUUCACAGUCCAGGCAGAACUCACCGGAAGGAAACAAACUCAGGUCUGCCAGGGCACAUUUUGCACUUGCCAUGAGUGUGGUGGUUCUGUUAACAUUCCCAGUAAAUCCACUGUCCCAUCAGGACACAGGAAGGGAGGUUCCUGGGGCAGGGGCCUUGCCAGGGGCAUGUGACUUCUGGUGGAGCUCUGGGCCCCGCAGGUCUGGACAUGGCUGUAUUCUUCAUUAGUGCCAUCUCUGGGCCAUGUUUCUUUAAAGACGUGACGAAGAGUCUCUUUAUUUUUAUUAAUUGAAUCAUUAAUUAGUUUUUGCAUAGGGAAGUUGCCAGGUUUUAGUUCUUUUAGAGAAUUCUCAGCUUCCCAAAUAGGUAUUAAUGAUCAAAGCUCAUUUUCAGUCAUUGGAGGGGGGGCAAAAGGAGAUGUAAUUGCUAAUUAUUUGGAAUCAUCUGAACUGCAAUCACUCGAAUGGCAGACGAUUUACGCAACAGCCUGGAACCCUGAAGCUUGUUUGGAAUUCUUCCAGGUCAAGAGGCUGGGAGGUGCCCUCUGCCUUUCAAGAUCAGAGAGUAGCUGAUCCCCCUCCUGCCGUCAUUUAUGGACUGAAUAACCACAGAGAGUGUGAGGCCGGCGGAAACUUGGCAGUGCCUGUUUGUCAUUGUCAGUUUCAAAUACUUUUUAAUUUUGAAUAGUUGUAGAUUUUCAGAAGGGUUAUGAAGAUUGUGCAGGCAGUUUCUGCAAGCUGCUGCUAAUUUCCCUCAGCUUCCACGUCUUCGCUGCCAUGGUCCACCUGCAGCAGCCAAGAAAGCCGCGUUGCAUCGCCACGAGCUAAACUCCAGCCUUCGGAUUUCAGAGCUUCCAUCCAUGUCCUCUCUCUGCUGUGACCCCACCUGGGGUGCCACGUCGUGUCUGAUCCUCCUGUGUCCUCGGCUUCUCUGGUCUGUGACAUUUCUGUCUCUCCUUUGCCAUGACCCUGGCAGUGUGGAGGAGACUGUUGGGCACCCUGUGGAUGCCCCUCAGUCUGGGUUCAUCUGUCCUUUUCCUCAUGGUUAGCCUGAGGUGGUGGGCUUCCGCAAAUAAUACCAAGGAGGUGAAAUGUUCUUCCCCUCACGGCCUCUCAGGGGCAUAGAACAUCCUCUUGACUUCACAGGUGGCGUUAACCCGAUCGCUUGUGUGAAAAUAACGCAUCGGGAGGCACUAGGCUGAGGGCUUCAGUACCUCAGAAGCAAACCCAGUUCCUGCACACAGAAACCCCAUUCAGGGUAAGGGGUCCUGUCCUAGGAAAGAAAAUUCAAGUUUAAACAGAAACUGCCAGCUAACCUCAAAGCAGAGGCCGUGUGACUGCUGUUUCACUUCAAUCCAUCCUUUUUCUGUUCUUCCUUCCAAGAACACUGAUGAAGGUUUUCCUUGUGCUCCUUGGUAGAGCCCAAACUGCUGUAGUUCAGUGCUGCCCAGCUCAUGGAUUCCUGUCUCCUCAAAUAACUCUUUACACUUUCACGUGCCUACGUUUAUCUUCUAACACUUGGAUCAGGUGGCGUCCGCCAGGUGUCUUCGCUGUAAAGUCACUGUCUUCCCUUCCACCGCUCCACUCUUUGGGAUGAGUCACGAAGCCUGUGCUACCUUCAGGGGAGGGCUGGGGAAGAGUUAAACUCCAUCUCCUGGAGGGGCUGCUACAUAUGAUCAUAUGAUGUUAUUUGGAGUAAGAAAGAUUUGCCUCUUCUCCACAUUUACUUGUUUAUUCAAUUAUUUAUACCAGUAUGGGCUCAUGAUAUUUACUGUAUAUUUUUUAUUAUAAUUCAAUCAUCCAAUAUAUUAUUUCUUUUGUUGUUCAAAUUUUUCCAUCUUUGGCCAUUGGCAGCCCUUUCACGUUGGCAUCUGUGUCCAUUGGACAAUCCCCCAUCCUUUUGUUUUUUUGAAAAUUUCCUUACUUUUUGAUAUCAUGAGAUACUCCAGGCUCAUCUUGUCUUCUCUCUGAUCCACCCUAGAAUCAGCCGUGGUUCCCCUCAUUGGAGAAUGAUAUUUAGAAACAGAAACCUGGGUGCUGGGUGUGCUCAGUGGGACGAGGGUGUCACUGCCUCCAGCCCUGUCAGUGAAGAGAGCUGCGUAAUGUGCGUGCAGAUAAUACCCUAUGUGUGAACACAUACUUCAGAUUAUCUCUGGAUCUGUCCAUCCUUAUAUCGAUGCAAAGCUAAACAUGAGUUCACACUGAUGUCUCUGAUUCUCAUCUAGUACCACAGGGUUCAGUCUAAACUUCCUCUUAUUUACAAAUAACCUUCCCCUCCAACACAAGAAGCCUGCCUCCCAUGGUUUGCCAUCCGUUGACUUAUCUGUUCAAUCCCAGUGUAUGUGAAUUGUUAACUUGUACCCCUGUGGGAAAUUUACCAACAAAGGAAUGAUAUUAAUGUCCUUUUGUCUUUAGCUUUACAAUUUCCACUCAAAACAUCAUAUUCUGAAGUUACUCAGGUCAGCUUCCUGUUUCUUUAAGUUCGCCCUCAUUACUGUCCGCGCUUUGUGAUGUGCAGUCAUGUGUUACCACCCCAGUGCCAGAAAGAAGAGCUCCUCGUGUGUCCGCCGAUGGCCAAGCACUCCUCUCCCCAGCCCCUGGCAACUGCUAGUCCAAGCUUGUCCAACCCACAGCCCGUGGGCUGCAUGCGGCCCAGGAUGGCUUUGAAUGUGGCCCAACACAAAUUCGUAAACUUUCUUAACACCUUAUGAGAUUUAUACAUGGACUUUUUUUGCUCAAGAGCUAUUGUUAGUGUUAGUAUAUUUUAUGUGUGGCCCAAGGCACAAUUCUUCUUCCAGUGUGGCCCAGGGAAGCCAAAAGAUUGGACACCCCGGCCCUAGUCUGUUCAUUCCUAUAGUUUUAAUUUUUCCAAAGUAUCAUAUGAAUGGAAUCAUGUGAUAUGUAGCCCAUGAAUCAUGUAUAUGGGUUUUUCACUUAGUAGAGCACAUUUAAGAUUCAUCAUUGUUGCUAUGUGAAUCAAUAGCUGGUUCCUUUUAUCUCUCCGCAGCUCCUACUGCACUGAGAAGCACGUGUUCUCCAUUUCCCUGGGGGAGACCAUUGUAUUGGGCAGUUUGGAACAAAACACCAUGGACUGGGAGGCUUACACAACAGAAAUUUAUUUCUUGCUGUUCUAGAGGCUGGGAAGCUCAAGGUGCUGGCUGCAUAUUCAUUCUGAGGCCUCUUCUGAUGUGCAGGCAGCUGCCUUCUGACUUGUGCUCACAUUGGAGAGAGGGAGUCAGCUUUGGUGUCUCUUCUUGUAAGGACACUAACCCCAUUCACUAGGGCCCCACCCUCAUGACCUAAUCACCCCCAAAGGUCCUGUCUCCAGACAUAUCACAUGGGGCAGAGCUUCAAUGUACCAAUUCUGGGGGGUCACAAACCCUCCGUCCAUAGCAGACAUCUUGGUUGCUCCCAGUUUUUAGAGAUUAAGAAUAAAACAACUGUAAAUAUUUACAUGCAGGUUUUUGUGUGAACAAGUUUUCAUGCCAGCUGGGUAAAUAGCUAGGGCUGUGAUGGCCAGAUCCUGUGGUAAGAUUCUGUUCCACAUUCUAAGAAACUGCCCAACUGUCUUCCACAGUGGCUGUGCCAUUUUGCAGUUCUGACAGCAAUUCUGUAGCUCCACAACCUCAUCAGCACUGGGUGGUGGUGCUUGAAUUUUGCAUUUUAGCCAUUCUAAUUGGUGUGGGUAGUAGUUCUCAUUUGGGGUUCAAUUUGCUUUUUCCUUUUUUUUUUUUUUUUUUUGGCAGGCUGGACAUCUCCUAGAGGGCAAUAGAUUCUGGUUUUGUUUUUUUUUUUAGACAGAGUCUCAUGCUGUCACCCAGGCUGGAGUACAAUGGCAUGAUCUCUGCUCACUGCAACUUCUGCCUCCCAGGCUCAAGCAAUUCUCCUGCCUCAGCCUCCCAAAUAGCUGGGGUUACAGAUGCUCGCCACCAUGCCUGGCUAAUUUUUGUAUUUUUAGUAGGGAUGGAGUUUCACCAUGCCAGCCAGGCUGGUUUUGAGCUCCUGAACUCAAAUGAUCCACCCGCCUUAGCCUCCCAAAGUGCUGGGAUUACAGGCGUGAGCCACCGCACCUGGCUGAGGGCAAUCGAUUCUGAAUAAAUAGGUUGUGAAUUGGAGAUUUGCAUUAACCCUGCCCAGGGCCGGGCUGUGUUUGCUGUAGCUGUGUGUGUGUAUAACUUCAGAUCCCUCUGUGACCUCCUUUUGUCUCCCUUUGUGGUUUUGGGCUUUCCUUUGCUGUUCCUCGGACAGCCUGUGUCUCUCAGGUCUCUUAGCUGUAAUCCAGUUAUCCCAGAGCUUGUCAGUUAGAGGGGAGGGAAGGGUUGGGGAGGGGCAGUUCCCUGGUCUCUGUCUUUGGACUUCAUGGGGCCUGUGCCCCCAUCCUGCCAUGGCCUUCACAAGGGUUUCUGUCCUCGCUCCAGAGUGAGGUGCCACCCAUCCCCCAUCCCCCACCCAUCC